rnacentral:rRNA from 1 species
UAAUAGUUAAGGGCUUGAAACUUAAAAAACUUGGCGGUAAAUUAAUUUAACUAGAGGAACUUGUUUAUUAAUUCGAUAAUCCACGUUAAAUCUUACCUUAAUUAAUAUUUUAUGUAUUGCCGUCUAGAAAAUCUUUAGAGAGUUUAAAUUUUCUUUUUAAUAUUAUAGUUAUUAAGUCAGGUCAAGGUGUAGAGCAUAUUAAGGGUUAUUAUGAGUUACAAUUAAUUAAUUAAAGUUGGAUAUAAUAUUGAAAUAUAUUAUUGAAAUUGGAUUUAGAAGUAAUUUUUUAUUAACAAGUUUAUAUGAAUAUUUGACUCUAAUUUAUGU